UAAGACGGAGGGGGCAAGCGUUGUCCGGAAUUACUGGGCGUAAAGCGCUCGUAGGCGGUCCUUUACGGCGAUGGUGAAAGCUCCCGGCUCAACUGGGAGAGGCCCGUCGCAACGGGGGGACUCGAGGGUGGUAGAGGCAGAUGGAAUUCCUGGUGUAGCGGUGAAAUGCGUAGAGAUCAGGAGGAACACCCAUGGCGAAGGCAGUCUGCUGGGCCACACCUGACGCUGAGGAGCGAAAGCCAGGGGAGCGAACGGG
rnacentral:rRNA from 1 species